rnacentral:rRNA from 1 species
AGAGUUUGAUCAUGGCUCAGGACGAACGCUGGCGGCGUGCCUAAUACAUGCAAGUCGAACGAAACUUUCUUACACCGAAUGCUUGCAUUCAUCGUAAGAAGUUGAGUGGCGGACGGGUGAGUAACACGUGGGUAACCUGCCUAAAAGAAGGGGAUAACACUUGGAAACAGGUGCUAAUACCGUAUAUCUCUAAGGAUCGCAUGAUCCUUAGAUGAAAGAUGGUUCUGCUAUCGCUUUUAGAUGGACCCGCGGCGUAUUAACUAGUUGGUGGGGUAACGGCCUACCAAGGUGAUGAUACGUAGCCGAACUGAGAGGUUGAUCGGCCACAUUGGGACUGAGACACGGCCCAAACUCCUACGGGAGGCAGCAGUAGGGAAUCUUCCACAAUGGACGCAAGUCUGAUGGAGCAACGCCGCGUGAGUGAAGAAGGUCUUCGGAUCGUAAAACUCUGUUGUUAGAGAAGAACACGAGUGAGAGUAACUGUUCAUUCGAUGACGGUAUCUAACCAGCAAGUCACGGCUAACUACGUGCCAGCAGCCGCGGUAAUACGUAGGUGGCAAGCGUUGUCCGGAUUUAUUGGGCGUAAAGGGAACGCAGGCGGUCUUUUAAGUCUGAUGUGAAAGCCUUCGGCUUAACCGGAGUAGUGCAUUGGAAACUGGAAGACUUGAGUGCAGAAGAGGAGAGUGGAACUCCAUGUGUAGCGGUGAAAUGCGUAGAUAUAUGGAAGAACACCAGUGGCGAAAGCGGCUCUCUGGUCUGUAACUGACGCUGAGGUUCGAAAGCGUGGGUAGCAAACAGGAUUAGAUACCCUGGUAGUCC